CAGGGCUUGACAUCCCGCUGACCGGCGCAGAGAUGCGCCUUUCCCUUCGGGGACAGCGGUGACAGGUGGUGCAUGGUUGUCGUCAGCUCGUGUCGUGAGAUGUUGGGUGCAGUCCCGCAACGAGCGCAACCCUUGCCCUUAGUUGCCAGCGGGUCAGGCCGGGCACUCUAAGGGGACAGCCGGUGAAAGCCGGAGGAAGGUGGGGAUGACGUCAAAUCAUCAUGCCCCUUAUGCCCUGGGCUACACACGUGCUACAAUGGCCGGUACAAUGGGCUGCGAACCCGCGAGGGGGAGCCAAUCCCAAAAAGCCGGUCUCAGUUCGGAUCGCAGGCUGCAACUCGCCUGCGUGAAGCCGGAAUCGCUAGUAAUCGCGGAUCAGCAUGCCGCGGUGAAUACGUUCCUGGGCCUUGUACACACCGCCCGUCACACCACGAAAGUCUGCAACACCCGAAGUCGGUGAGCUAACCCGCAAGGGAGGCAGCCGCCGAAGGUGGGGCAGAUGAUUGGGGUG
rnacentral:rRNA from 1 species